rnacentral:rRNA from 1 species
AUUCCAGCUCCAAUAGCGUAUAUUAAAGUUGUUGCAGUUAAAAAGCUCGUAGUUGGAUUUCUGGUUGGAGCGACCGGUCGGGCAUUGAUUUGUCUGCACUGGAGUCGGUUCUGGCCAUCCUCUUGGAAAGUGCGUCUGUCAUUAAGUUGUCGGGCGUAUGAUCCAGGUCUUUUACUGUGAAAAAAUUAGAGUGUUUAAAGCAGGCCUUCGCCUUGAAUACAUUAGCAUGGAAUAAUAAGAUAGGACUUUGGUCUAUUUUGUUGGUUUGCAGACCGAAGUAAUGAUUAAUAGGGAUAGUUGGGGGUAUUUAUAUUCCAAUGUCAGAGGUGAAAUUCUUAGAUUUUUGGAAGAUAAACUUACGCGAAAGCAUUUACCAAGGAUGUUUUCAUUG